AACGUACGCUGGCGGCACGCCUAACACAUGCAAGUCGAACGAAGUAGCAAUACUUAGUGGCAGACGGGUGAGUAACAUGUGGGUAUCUACCCUUUGGCCUGGAAUAACACGAGGAAACUUGUGCUAAUACCGGAUAAGUCUUUACGGAGAAAGCUUUAUGCACCAUUGGAUGAGCCCGCACUUGAUUAGUUUGUUGGUAGGGUAAUGGCCUACCAAGACUAUGAUCAAUAGCUGAUUUGAGAGGAUGAUCAGCCACAUUGGGACUGAGACACGGCCCAAACUCCUACGGGAGGCAGCAGUGGGGAAUCUUGCACAAUGGAGGAAACUCUGAUGCAGCGAUGCCGCGUGAGUGAAGAAGGCCUUUGGGUUGUAAAGCUCUUUCGUCGGGGAAGAAAAUGACUGUACCCGAAUAAGAAGGUCCGGCUAACUUCGUGCCAGCAGCCGCGGUAAUACGAAGGGACCUAGCGUAGUUCGGAAUUACUGGGCUUAAAGAGUUCGUAGGUGGUUGAAAAAGUUGGUGGUGAAAUCCCAGAGCUUAACUCUGGAACUGCCAUCAAAACUUUUCAGCUAGAGUACGAUAGAGGAAAGCAGAAUUUCUAGUGUAGAGGUGAAAUUCGUAGAUAUUAGAAAGAACACCAAUUGCGAAGGCAGCUCUCUGGAUCAUUACUGACACUGA
rnacentral:rRNA from 1 species